CUACGGGAGGCAGCAGUAGGGAAUCUUAGACAAUGGGGGAAACCCUGAUCUAGCCAUGCCGCGUGAGUGAUGAAGGCCUUAGGGUUGUAAAGCUCUUUCGCUGGGGAAGAUAAUGACGGUACCCAGUAAAGAAACCCCGGCUAACUCCGUGCCAGCAGCCGCGGUAAUACGGAGGGGGUUAGCGUGGUUCGGAAUUACUGGGCGUAAAGCGCGCGUAGGCGGGCUAUUAAGUCAGGGGUGAAAUCCCGGGGCUCAACCCCGGAACUGCCUUUGAUACUGGUAGUCUUGAGUUCGAGAGAGGUGAGUGGAAUUCCGAGUGUAGAGGUGAAAUUCGUAGAUAUUCGGAGGAACAUCAGUGGCGAAGGCGACUCACUGGCUCGAUACUGACGCUGAGGUGCGAAAGUGUGGGGAGCAAACAGGAUUAGAUACCCGAGUAGUC
rnacentral:rRNA from 1 species